rnacentral:rRNA from 1 species
UUUAGAGGAAGUAAAAGUCGUAACAAGGUUUCCGUAGGUGAACCUGCGGAAGGAUCAUUAGUGAAUCUUCAAAGUCGGCUCGUCGGAUUGUGCUGGUGGAGACACAAGUGCACGUCUUGCGAGUCGCAAAUCCCACACACCUGUGCAUCUAUGACUCUGAGUGCCGCUUUGCAUGGCCUUUGAUUGGGCCUGGCGCUCGAGUACUUUUACACACUCUCGAAUGUAAUGGAAUGUCUUGUUGUGCGUAAUGUACAAAUCAAAACAACUUUCAACAACGGAUCUCUUGGCUCUCGCAUCGAUGAAGAACGCAGCGAAAUGCGAUAAGUAAUGUGAAUUGCAGAAUUCAGUGAAUCAUCGAAUCUUUGAACGCACCUUGCACCCUUUGGUAUUCCGAAGGGUACACCCGUUUGAGUGUCAUUGUAAUCUCACUACGAUCGACUUUUUGUCUUUCCGUAUGUGGACUUGGAUGCUGUCGUGAUAUUCACGACUCGUCUGAAAUGCCUGAGUGUACCCCGCUUUGCGGCGUAUUCGGUGUGAUACAUCUUCACCGGAGUUGAUCCUUUUGGGUCGCGUCUGUAAUGGUGUGGCUCUAUGCUUCGAACCGUCUCCAGGAGACAACCUCUGACAAUUUGACCUCAAAUCGGGUGGGACUACCCGCUGAACUUAAGCAUAUCAAUAAGCGGAGGAAAAGAAACUAACAAGGAUUCCCCUAGUAACGGCGAGUGAAGAGGGAAAAGCUCAAAUUUUGAAUCUGGUGUCUUUGACUCCCGAGUUGUAAUCUAGAGAAGUGUUUUCCGUGUCGGACCGUGCACAAGUUCCCUGGAACGGGGCAUCAUAGAGGGUGAGAAUCCCGUAUAUGGCAUGGACUGCCGAUGCUUUUGUGAUACACUCUCAACGAGUCGAGUUGUUUGGGAAUGCAGCUCAAAAUGGGUGGUAAAUUCCAUCUAAAGCUAAAUAUUGGCGAGAGACCGAUAGCGAACAAGUACCGUGAGGGAAAGAUGAAAAGCACUUUGGAAAGAGAGUGAAACAGUACGUGAAAUUGUUGAAAGGGAAGCGUUUGAAGUCAGUCGUGUCUGCCAGGAUUCAGCCGGGCUUUUGCCAGGUGUACUUCUCGCCGGACGGGUCAGCAUCAAUUUCGACCGGGGGAAAAAGACGUGCGGAAUGUGGCUGUCUUCGGGCAGUGUUAUAGCCGUGCGUUGUAUGCCUCGGUUGGGAUUGAGGAACGCAGCGCGCCUCAUGGCCAGGGGCUUGCCUCUUGAUACGCGCUUAGGAUGCUGGCAUAAUGGCUUUAAGCGACCCGUCUUG